AAGUAUCUUAAAGCUAGAUACACAGAAGUAUUCAAUCAAUAACAAUGUUCGCCAAACUGUUUACUCUUUUCGCCUUCGUGGCCAUGGCAUUGGCUGCCCCAAAGCCUGCACCUGCGCCCGCACCUGCGCCAGCCCCACAAGUGCUCACCUAUUCGACUGGAUUGGACUAUGCAUACUCAGUGGGUGCCGUCCCAUCACUCGUGUCCCCCUACGCUGCACCACUCGCUUAUUCCGCUUUACCAGCCGGAGCUGUCUACCUUCGCUGAAAUGAUUCCAAAUUAAACACUGUUCUUUAAUCAUUACUGUAUGUUAAUAAAGCAAUUUUCAUCAUAA